AUGAAAAGAACAGCAUGGAGUCUUAGAUCCCCCAGCUUGUCCCUGACACACAUCCCCACUCAGCCUGCAGGGCACAGAGCUGUACACUCACAAGCUAAUCCUGCCUCCCCACUCCAGAAACUGAUCCCCCUCCUCUGCUGAAGGGAAUGGAGCGUGAUAUAGUAAUGGGAGAACAGCUCGCUGCUUGUGUUAUACCAGCAGGCAGGUGCAUGAGAGCAAGAUUGUAAGACUGAAAAGUGGAUAUAUGAAGAGAAGGACAAAAAUAGGGGGCGCUCCCAGAAUGGAAUGCAAUGCUGAAUCUUGUGUCAGAUUUUGCUAGUUGCUCACAGAAUGUAGUUUGGAGUAGUAAAGUGGGAGCUGCUGCGCUCAGACCGGGGCUGGGCUCUUAUGCAAAAGCCAGUAGAGAAUCAGGCAGGGCCACGCCAGCACCUCUGCACACAGGAUCAUCUCCAGUAUCUCUGCAUACUAUCCAAGAAGUUUGCAUUGUACGUUUUGGACCUGAGGAAGGCACUUUGUAUGUGUCAAAAUGCGUUGUCCUCUUUUUUACCAAAUAAACAAGUUUGUCCUGUGCUGGCCUGAGUCUCUCCAUUCUUUCACUUAUGCGAGCAGCGCCUCCUAAAGACCGGUUUUUGUAGCUCCUAGUUGCCUAUCUUAAGACUGAA